GAUCUGAAAUGGGCUUCUGAUAGGAUAGAAAGCCUUCACAGGGCUUUGGUCUCCCAGGGUAGUGGUUUCCAAACUGUUUUGAUUAUGAACAUUUAUGUAUAAAUCACACACUAGAGUCAAAACCCAUAUGAAAGCUUACUAAAGCUCAAUUUAUUUUUCAGAUAAAAAAGUUUAAAUGGAAAUCUUCCUAUGUCCUCCCACCUCCUGACAGAUGGCCUUGCUCACUCCUGCACUCAGCCCAGCGAGGAGCCCUCCGCACUCUAGAUGAAGGCAGCCUCGCUCAGAGCAGACCAUCCCACCUUGCAGGAGGCUUGAAAAGAAGCCCGGUCAUCUUCGGCAAGGCUCUUCUGCUGAAGCCGGGGUUAUGCUACGGCUCCCUACCCCCAAAGGCCCCGGCAGCCUGUCCCUAGAGCCACAACACCCGCUUGCAGAAAGGCACUAAUUACUGUGCUGAGCUCGGAGCUGCCUAAUGAGGCCGUUUGGAUUUCCUGUUGUUCUGGCUUCCCAAGACCCUUAAAGGGCCAGCAUCGCACUAGGAGUGUGCCCGGGUGGGACACCAACCGUCCUGGUGAGGGUGAGCACAGAAGGGCUAUCCCUCAGCUCAGCCUGAAUGCCAAGGGCAGUGACAAAGGGACGGUCUAGCACUUCCCAGCUGCUCACAUCCUCCAUGAGGACCUGCUCCGAAGGGCCCCCGCACCGGAAGCAGGAGCUUCAGAACUGUGUAGCCUGGCCCGAGCAUGGGGUAGGGUGGGAGGGGGAGGCCAGGAGGCCAGGGCUGAGGAGGAAAGGCUGGUGAUGUGACCAGUGCCCAGACUGUGAGAACCACUGCAGCACCAGGCAGGAGGGAAACGCCAUGACGUCCUGUGCUGCCCCCCCCCCCCCAGAAAAUAAACACUUGUUGUCUGAGCAGCCCGCGCCACUUCCGAAGGGGCAGGCUAGCCAAGCUAGUGGCCCAGGAAUGGGCCUCGGCCCAGCUCUGAGCAAAGUGCUUUGCCCAAGUUGGAUGCAGAAAGGCCUGCAGGUCAGGCUGCCCCUAACCCAGUCCCUCCAUGGCACACCACCAAACAGGGCUUACGGGAUGCAUUCGUCCCUUCUGUGCCUUAGGGCUCAUCUUUGCACACGGAGGAGUGGAGCAUGGCUGGUGAUGCCAGGGAGCCCCCUUCCAUGUGUGCCACAGACUGCUGACGGACUGGCAGGGCAGGUGGGGGAGUGCCCAUCUGCCUCCCGAGUUCCCCUCCGAUCUGUGGCACAGCCUCAGCCCUGCCCCAAGUGCCCCCCCGGCUGCCACAGACUGUGGGUCCCCUGGGCCCCAGGAACCCUGGCCUGCAGCACCCUCCCCCACAGACAGGGUGACGACAUUGUUGUUCUUAUACGGGGCCUUCCGCCUGGAGUUCCGGCUCCGUUAAAUGGUGGGAAUGAGGGUCCCAGGGACAAAGCCAGCCUGGUUCCCGCAGCCACCUCAGAAUGGACGGAAUCCCCAUUGUGUGCGGGCGCCUUGUGCCCGCCCUCCCCUUGCCCGCGCCGGACAUGCCAACAAACAGCUCAUUGAGUCCGGGGGAGGGGCCCGGGAGACAACAAUGUCCCCCAGCGGGCCAGGGCAGUGAGCUCAGCUGGGGGUGGGGGCUGCCAUGGAGGCCGGAGGGCGAUGAUCUCAGCCUGGGGAGGGACAGCCCUUGCGACAGGCUGACCUGAGCCUGGCCUCCCCGGUGAGGCUGAGAAGGGCUGACCAGGGCUGGCCUCACCCUGGCUGCCCCACCCCCGGGCCGAGCUGGGAACUGACCUGAGCUUCUCACGCUUAAACUGCCCCAGCCCAGGGUGCCAAGCAGGCGCGGCAGGGGGCCCACAGGACCCCGCAGAGCCACCCCAGAUCCAAGAGGCUGGUGGACCCUCCCUCUGGCAGCGCCGUUCCAGAAGCCCCUGAGCGAGGCCCAGUCCAAACAGAGCCCUCCCAUGACACCAGGCCACAUUGACCACAGCAGGACUUUUGGAUCAAUGAGCAGUGUAGACACUGUCACAGGAAGUUCUCCCAUAUGUCUAACCUUUCUAUAACCAGAACUAUCUAAAGAGCAGGCUCAGCCUGGAGAGGGGGUGAGGAUCCAAUCCCCAGAAGUAU